CGUCUCUAGUCGUACUCAUAAAUCACAGUGGUCUCCAGUCGUGCUCCAUCGUCUCUGGUGCUCCAACGUCUAUCUACGACGUCAUUUCUCUUUGUCUUCCUCUGAUGUAUAAGAGAUUUGGGGUUUGAAGAUUUGGAGAUUUCGCAAUCGAAAAACUGAAGAUCGAAGCUUUAUUGCUGAUUCCAAAAUUUUUGCAGGAGAAGUUAGAAAUAGCUUCGUUGGGAGAUGUGUAUGAGCCGAUCGAAACUUUGAUGGAUCUAUUUGGAGAAUUGAUGGAUUGGAAGCAUAGUACAGAGACGAAGUUGAACGCGUCGGCGAAGAGAUUCAUAACGAUGAGACGCAAAUUCGAUAUGUUUCUUAUUUUGCUUCCACCUUUAGUACCAACAACGAUAACACAUCAAAACUCGCAGAUCAAUUUUGUGUCAAUAGAGUUGGUGAUAAGAGGUGGUGGUCGCAAAUCUGGGGUGAUUAUGGCGUGGCGGUAGUGGUUACAAAGGAGAGCAAGGUGUUGUGGUGUUUGUGGAGGCAACGACUGCUACAAGUUCCUACACUGAUUAACAAUGUAAACUCUUGUUGAUAUUGCUGUUUUGGAAUAAUUGGAUAAGACAUAGAUUCUGGAAAGAUGAAGAAGAAGGAGAAGAGAAGGUGAACAACAUGACACCUAUGACAAACUUCUCACUUAAGCACCAAAGUUCAAAAGCUCAUACUCCAUAGAUUCUUGCAUGAGUGAAUACCUUCCUGAAAUUCAAAGAUGAUUUCCUAAAAGUAAUGAAAUCUUUCCUAAAUUUUUAAAAAUGAUGUAUACAUCUCUUUAUUUAUGUUUUACCUCAAUAUAUCACAUAUUACUUCAU